rnacentral:rRNA from 1 species
UCGGGUUGUAAAGCACUUUUGUCCGGAAAGAAAACUUCGGCCCUAAUACGGCGGGAGGAUGACGGUACCGGAAGAAUAAGCACCGGCUAACUACGUGCCAGCAGCGCGGUAAUCGUAGGGUGCGAGCGUUAAUCGGAAUUACUGGGCGUAAAGCGUGCGCAGGCGGUUCGUUAAGACAGAUGUGAAAUCCCCGGGCUUAACCUGGGAACUGCAUUUGUGACUGGCGAGCUAGAGUAUGGCAGAGGGGGGUAGAAUUCCACGUGUAGCAGUGAAAUGCGUAGAGAUGUGGAGGAAUACCGAUGGCGAAGGCAGCCCCCUGGGCCAAUACUGACGCUCAUGCACGAAAGCGUGGGGAGCAAACAGGAUUAGAUACCCUGGUAGUCCACGCCCUAAACGAUGUCAACUAGUUGUUGGGGAUUCAUUUCCUUAGUAACGUAGCUAACGCGUGAAGUUGACCGCCUGGGGAGUACGGUCGCAAGAUUAAAACUCAAAGGAAUUGACGGGGACCCGCACAAGCGGUGGAUGAUGUGGAUUAAUUCGAUGCAACGCGAAAAACCUUACCUACCCUUGACAUGGUCGGAACCUGCUG